UACGUAGGGGGCGAGCGUUGUCCGGAAUCAUUGGGCGUAAAGCGCGUGUAGGCGGCCCGGUAAGUCCGCUGUGAAAGUCCAGGGCUCAACCCUGGGAUGCCGGUGGAUACUGUCGGGCUCGAGUCCGGAAGGGGCGAGUGGGAUUCCUGGUGUAGCGGUGAAAUGCGCAGAUAUCAGGAGGAACACCAAUGGCGAAGGCAGCUCGCUGGGACGUGACUGACGCUGAGACGCGAAAGCGUGGGGAGCAAACAGG
rnacentral:rRNA from 1 species